CGAUGCCGAAUCAUACCAGCACUAAUGCCACCGGAUCCAUCAGAAUCUCCGAAGUCAAGUGUGCUUGGCGCGAGAGUAGUACUAGGAUGAGUGACCCCCUGGGAAGUCCUCGUGUUGCAUUCC
rnacentral:rRNA from 1 species